UACCUGGGAGAAGGAGAAGACAUAAAGCAACAUGAAGAAGGAAGAGAAGAUGAGAAGAGAGGAAAUAUUCAGGAUGGGGGAAUGGAUAAUGUGGUGGAAUCCCUCUCCAGGUUGGCCCACAGCUCUUGUCAUUCACCUUCCCCUAUGCCCUAUUAGUCUCCUCACGCCACCCUGGAAAUGAAUACUUGGCCUGUGUGUGUUUGUGUGUGAUGUGUGUGUAUAUAAAUAAUAAUAAUAAUAAUAAUAAUAAAUAAUUACUGGGAUCUGCGCGCAUCAUCCGAAAAUACAUCACACAGCCCUAAACGCUUGGAAAGUGUUCAACUUGUGAUUUUGUGAUACGAAAUUCAGCAUAUCUAUCUUGUUUUCUGUGUCAUACUAUGUUGUUGUGUCAAUAAUAAUAAUAAUAAUAAUCUUUAUUUAUAUCCUAUCCCCUUUCCCAGAAGGAACUCGGAACGGCUUACAAUAAAAAACAAAUACCAUAAAUAAUAUAACAUUGACAAUAAUCACAUAUCAGUUAAUAAAACAAUAUAAUACAAUCCUGCAAAACAUAAAUAAAUAGGCAAUAUAAAAUGCAAGGCCCUCUAAAACCAGUGUGUAAAUGCCAUUUAAAAUCAGCCAUUCCUAUGAUCAAAGUAUCAAGGCUAUAAAUUAUGUCCUAAUGCCCAUCAAAAAUCCUGUCCCAUGGAGUGGUUGAUACUUUUAGCCACUGUUUUAAAAAGCCUGUUUAAACAGUGAAGUUCUCAAUUGCUUCCUGAAUGUUAUAAGGGUGGGUGCUUGUCUCAUUUCCCUGGAGAGGGCAUUCCAAAGUCACAGGGACAAAGUGAGAUGAAAUCUUCCAUUCUGACUUACAAAUUCCUCUUAAGAGCAAACCUACAGAAUCUAUCUUGUUCGCAACUUGAGGACUGCCUAUACAUGGUAUACUUUUUAUGAUUUCCUUGAGAGUCUGCCUGGAAAAUGAGAGUACAGAUCCCCACCUAGUCAUGGAGAGUCCAGGGCAAACCUCCUCUGAAGAAAACCCUUGGAGAAGCUGCUGUUCGCCCUCGUUGCUUUGGCUCUCUGUGCCAUUUCGUGUUGUGACCUUCUUGGAUGACUUCAACCUCUUGGACCUUGGACUGGAACUUGACUCGGCUUUGCUCUUCACUCUCAAAUCGUGGUUUGGCAUCAUUCUCUACUCGGUGGCUGCCUGACUGCUCAUCCCGACUCCAGACCGGCUUGACAACGCUUUCUCGCUCUGCCCCUUUAAUUCCUGGCUUGGCGUUUGCUUCUACAACAGCUUGGUGCUGCUGGCUUAUCCCGACUCCGGACCGGCUCAACAACGCUUUCCUGCUCCGCUCCUUUAACUCCUGGUUUGGCGUGUGUUUCUGCAGCGGUUGCUGCGGGCUUGCCAGCGUCUUGCUGUUCCGCUGGCUUGUUUGCUCUUAACUGAGAGUCCUUGAGCCCAGUUUGGGCGUUUGUUUGAUUUUGAACUCCUUUUGAACGUUUAAGUUUUGGGAAGGGUUUGUGGGCUUCAAUACUGCUUGUCUUCGUUUUUGCCCUAGUUUUUCGGCCCAUUGUGAACUCUUGAGUCAAGUUCUAGGACUCUAAAUUUAAUCCGGAUUAUAUCUCUAGUUAAUCCAGAUUAUUUGCCAGUCUUUGUUUUGGGGGUUUUUUCUCGCUCAAUCUGCUUAAUAACACUGAAAGUUAAGUGUUUUAAGCCUUUUUGUGUUUGUUGAGCUAUUUUUGGACAUUUGCUUUAAUAAACUCUGUUUUGCUCUCUUA